rnacentral:rRNA from 1 species
UACGAAGGGGGCUAGCGUUGUUCGGAAUCACUGGGCGUAGAGCGCACGUAGGCGGAUCGUUAAGUCGGGGGUGAAAUCCCAGAGCUCAACUCUGGAACUGCCUUCGAUACUGGCGAUCUUCGAGUCCGGGAGAGGUGAGUGGAACUCCGAGUGUAGAGGUGAAAUUCGUAGAUAUUCGGAAGAACACCAGUGGCGAAGGCGGCUCACUGGCCCGGUACUGACGCUGAGGUGCGAAAGCGUGGGGAGCAAACAGG